UAUUAUGGUGGGCUGGAUGGGGCUGACCUCGGUCAGGCCGUUUCCUAUGUCACGGUAGUUCCAACUCCGCCAGCUCACCACCCAU
rfam:Vibrio sp. MEBiC08052 genomic scaffold scaffold00001, whole genome shotgun sequence.